UGUGGGAGCUGGCUUGCCAGCGAUAGCGGUGGGUCAGUCGACAUCAAUGUUGAAUGUGACUCAGUCAUCGCUGGCAAGCCAGCUCCCACA
rnacentral:misc_RNA from 1 species